CGGACGGGUGAGUAACGCGUGGGCAACCUGCCUUACACAGGGGGAUAACACUUAGAAAUAGGUGCUAAUACCGCAUAAGCGCACAGCUUUGCAUGAAGCAGUGUGAAAAACUCCGGUGGUGUAAGAUGGACCCGCGUCUGAUUAGCUGGUUGGCAGGGUAAAGGCCUACCAAGGCGACGAUCAGUAGCCGGCCUGAGAGGGUGAACGGCCACAUUGGGACUGAGACACGGCCCAGACUCCUACGGGAGGCAGCAG
rnacentral:rRNA from 1 species